CCACCCAUCCCGAUGAGUCAGGCUGGUCAGAGCCGCGUAGAGCACUGGUAGGUGAGGUCGGGAAUGAACCUCAGCGGGCAGCGAACCUGUCGGCUGGACACGCAGCCGCUCCCAGUCCGGGAAGUGGAAAGCAGGAACCAGAGAGAAAUGCUAGAGCAAGUCAUAUUCAAGAUUCGCCUGUGACUCAGGAGGCAGAGGCAGGAGGAUCGCAAGUUUGCCUGGAGUAUUAAAGUACCAACAAGAUAGGAAACAAUAUCUUUGCUUGAAGUUACCUAAGAAAACUCUGGAAAUAUAUACAAGACACUAAAGUAUUUACCUCUUGAGAAGAGUUGUGGGGACUGGACAGAUGGUGAAUAAGAAAUGAACAAGGUGAGGAGGAAAGACCUGGUGAUACAAUGCCAGCAGAUGCCAAGGAAAAGUUAAAAUUCCUCAUCUUCUGUUUCCUCUGUCAAAGAGAAGAAUGUUUUCAUGAAAAACAGUCAAAUGUGACUCAAAGACUGCUGAAGUCCAAGAUGGUAAACAAGCAACCAAUUGUUUUAAAUGAGUUAAACUUUCUAGGCCUAAAUUAAUUAUCCAUGAAAGACUGUGUAAGUGAUUGUAGAAUCAAUACUAGUCAGCUUUGGGAAGGAAGAGAAAAAUAAUAAAUGCCAAAGGCCUGAAGAGGGACAACUAUUGCCUGCAUUUUUAAAGAGAAUAAAACACGGUAAGAGUGGAGCCUGAGAAUUAUUGGCAAAUUUAACAAUGUCUAGGGAAUUUCUACAAUAAAUUUUUUA